rnacentral:rRNA from 1 species
CAAGAUCGAACUAAAGAGUUUGAUCCUGGCUCAGAUUGAACGCUGGCGGCAUGCUUUACACAUGCAAGUCGAACG